rnacentral:snoRNA from 1 species
CGGUGUGGGCGCGCGUGUGUGUCGGGUGCGUGUCUGUGUGCGCGCUUGUGCGGGUGUUUGUGUGUGUUUGUGUGUGUGUGUGUGUUUAUGUGUGUGUGGGGUGUGCGUGGCUGAGGCGCCCCCUCCCCUCCCCUCCCCCUACACGUUGAUCUUAUUCGAUCGGCCGGGCCCCGCCGGGCCGAGGUGAGAAGAAGACGCCGCGAAGCCCCCGGGCGCUGUGCGGCAGGGCCGGGCGGGAUGAGUCGAUCAGAUAGGCGAGGCCGCGGCCGCUGAGCGCCCUGCGAUUCUGACCCGC